CUCUUGGCCACAGCCUCUGGGUUACAUGGCAGAACUCAUCAGUGCUGUAAGUUUCAGCAGUUGCUGAAACAAAACCUAAUUUUCUUUCCCAGUGAUAUCGUAUCUGUGUCAUCCUGUUCUCUGCCUACUCGGAAGCAGCUCCUCAGCAUUUGACUUUAAAAAGGGAAGGCAAGCAGGAGAUGUGUCUAAGUGGUUGCACUCUUUUGAUCGAUGAGAGAGGUGAGCCAGAAUGUGUUCCAGUGACCUCCUGCUAUAUAAAAGCUUGGCCUGCCUGACAGGACUUCUGGCUGCUGAGUAGCUGUGAGUCACAGCCUUUACUGCUUGGAUUUGAUGUGGAUUUUUACAUCAGACGCUGCGGAAACGAGGUGGCCUCUCAAAUAUUUGCAUUGCUUGGCAAGCUAAGGGGCUCUUCUCACCUAACGAGACAGCACAGGAUGUUUUCCAAAGAGCUUUGCAGACUGCCAAAACUUCCCUGAAAGUGAGUACAGAAAUCCACUGGAAAGCAGCAUAUUAAAGGCAUGUGUGUCCCUGUGCUGUGAUCCUGUCAGGAGUUAAGCUGUGUUGGGCUGGAUCAGAGCGUGGACAGGAGGCCUCCAAGGACACACGGCCGAAGCCAUUUCAGGCAGCGAUCCCAUUAAACAGGACCUGGUAUGUGCCCUCCGCCUGGGCACAAACUGCUAUUGCUUUGCUCACGGGUGGUAAGAAAGCAUUCCCUGAUAAUUUUAUUGAAAAAAAAAAGGAAAAGAGAAAAGCAUAGAGGCGCAAGUCUGGGGAUACUGUCCUGGCCAUAUCCCAGGCUGGGUAUCUGCACAUGGUUUGCUUCCGCAUAGACUUCUUCUGGGGAUUCCUGCUGGACAACAUAUUUCUCCUCAACCCUAGCUCCAGACUGUUUGAUAACAUUGCGGUUUGGUUUUUAUGCCUUAUGCCAGUGGUGGAGGCCCUCCGCUAAUGGGUAUCUGCACCAUUUGAAAGGUUUUGUGAGGACAAACAAAUAGCAAAUAGAAAAAGAAGAGGAAAAGAUAGGAAAGAAGGAACUGAGUUUCCUUCUUUCAGCUCCACCACCUCCAGCACAACAAACCGAGUCUCCUGGGAGUGUGUGGAUGCUCCACAGUCAGCAAGGAUGACUUACCCAUGGAGUGGCAUCAUUGCCAUGUGACGCAUAUUUCCUUGGGGGAAAUCAAAAAAAAAGUGGUGACAUUUCUGAACUUGCGGCUGGUGGUGGCCAGGAGAGCCUCAUACAAGCCUGGCCUCUGCUGGGCUUUGAGACUUGCAUAGCUAAAAACAAACAGAAGAAGAUGCAUAUGUUUUACUUCAAUGCUUAUACACGUGGAUCUCGCUUCCCACAGAAAUACGUAAAUAAAUAAAUAGAUUAAUAAUAAAUGAAUAAAUUUAAUCGUUAAAGCCACUACUUUUUGCUUCCUUCUGGAGAAUAAUUGCCAAUGUGAU